rnacentral:rRNA from 1 species
CCUACGGGAGGCUGCAGUGGGGAAUAUUGGACAAUGGGGGCAACCCUGAUCCAGCCAUGCCGCGUGUGUGAAGAAGGCCCUCGGGUUGUAAAGCACUUUCAGUGAGGAAGAACGCCUGGUGGUUAAUACCCAUCAGGAAAGACAUCACUCACAGAAGAAGCACCGGCUAACUCCGUGCCAGCAGCCGCGGUAAUACGGAGGGUGCGAGCGUUAAUCGGAAUUACUGGGCGUAAAGCGCGCGUAGGUGGCUUGAUAAGCCGGUUGUGAAAGCCCCGGGCGCAACCUGGGAACGGCAUCCGGAACUGUCAAGCUAGAGUGCAGGAGAGGAAGGUAGAAUUCCCGGUGUAGCGGUGAAAUGCGUAGAGAUCGGGAGGAAUACCAGUGGCGAAGGCGGCCUUCUGGACUGACACUGACACUGAGGUGCGAAAGCGUGGGUAGCAAACAGGAUUAGAUACCCUGGUAGUC